rnacentral:lncRNA from 1 species
AAUUAUGUUAUUAAAAGCUUCUUUUCCCUCUGCAGACAGGCAGGUCUGCGCACGCCCUACCGAGGUCCCGAGUUGCACGGAACACGCAGAAUCAGCCCGCGCCCUGGCAACAAUCCCCUGGAACCCCACCCCCGCUCCUCUGUACAGCUGCAUGGUUCCACACUACAAAGACGCAGAGGACACUGGACCACCAGACCAAGAGCUCCAGCCACUGAUGCUCCAGGUGCUCUGCCCCCUCCUUGAUCGCUGCCUCCUCCUGCAAGACCUCCAGCACAAGGAGCCAGAGCAGCAGCGUCAGGGCUCUGUGCCCACCUGCCCUGCCCACCCUUCCCGGCCUGGCAGGACAGACUCAGCGGCAGCUUCCCCAUGGACACACGGUCAGCCCUGCUCCUGGGGUGCGAGCCUCAUCCUCAGGUUUGUCCUGGGUUGGGGCUGCCAGGUGGGUCAGGUAGCAGCGUUGCCCCUUCUGCUGCCUCAGGUCCCUGGGCAGCAGAGCCCGCUGUUCCUGGACAGGGGUAGGACCAUCAUUAAAAAUGCCAUCUGGGCCAGGGAUUUAGCUCAGUGGUUUCGCCACCUACUGCGCAAGCCCAAGGACCCAAAUUCGAUCCCCGGUACCAAAAAAAAAGCCAUCUGAAGAAGGGGUGUGCUUGCGAGGGGACUGCUCCUGACAAAGUGGGGAAAGGAGCAGAAAGGAGCUCCCCACUGUCACUGGCACCCGAGGGUCCCAGGGGACAGCGUCUGACCACAGCUGGCCAGGGAAGCUGUGAGGUCCAUGGAAACAAGAGGGUGCGGAAAGCGAGGCACUGGGGUGUCCAAAGGGACCACAGAGGGACCAGGGCAGGACAGGGAGAAGGGAUGAAGUGGAGACCUACUCACCAGGGCCUCUGAGCUGCCCGAGUCUGCAGGGGUGGUGUCGUCAGACAGAGGAGUCUCCACACUCCUUUCCUCCACAUCGCCUUCAUUUCCAACUGGGAGCAGCCAGGAGGUCCCCAGUGAGCCACACAGGGAGGCAGAGCAGCCAGAGGCCCCCUCUUCACCUGCCUUGCCAGGGGCCCCGGGACCACCACCCUCUGCCAGAGAAUGAGCAGCACCCUACAGGUCUCUUCCCCCUCAACUCUCUGCUUCACAGCUCUGCUCAGCCCACCCUGCCCUGGGCAUCUCCACUCACCUUCCCUGGGCUGGGCUGGGCCUCUCUGUGGGGCUGAUUGCAGAUCUUGCAGUGUGGAGGCUUCCAGGCCCUCCUGUGGGCAGCAUGGAAAGUGAGAAGUCAGAGGCAGCCAGGGCCUUCCCUGCCCGGCCUCGCCUCAGCAGCUUCAUCACCUGAGUCUCCCACAGUUCCUGGUGCAGCCUGGCCAGGGCCACAUUUUCCUCCUUUAUGGUGUUUUCCUGCUGCUUCACCAGCUGCCUGUGCAGCAGAGCCCGCCUAGACAGGGCCUCCUUCUGUGUGGCCAGCUGCUGCCAGGCCUCAGCAUGCUGCCACACCUGGGACAGCAGCUGCUCCCCCUGCUGCUGCAGCUGCUGGGCCUCCUGGCUCUUUAGCACCUUCUGCAGAAGACCCAGAGGUGAGGGAGGGUGAGCUGCUGCUCCAGAGCCUGAGCUCACGAAUGUGG